rnacentral:misc_RNA from 1 species
AAGUCGUAACAAGGUUUCCGUAGGUGAACCUGCGGAAGGAUCAUUAACGAAUAACUAUGGUGUCUUGGUUGUAGCUGGCUCCUCGGAGCAAUGUGCACGCCCGCCAUUUUUAUCUUUCCACCUGUGCACCGACUGUAGGUCUGGAUGACUCUCGUACUCCGGUGCGGAUGCGAGGAUUGCUCUCGGGCUCUCCUCGAAUUUCCAGGCUCUACGUCUUUUUACACACCCCAAACGUAUGAUACAGAAUGUAGUCAAUGGGCUUGAUCGCCUAUAAAACACUAUACAACUUUCAGCAACGGAUCUCUUGGCUCUC